rnacentral:lncRNA from 1 species
GCGUACCGUGGAUUCACCUUCACCAUCCUCUGAGCCCUGGGUGGCUGCACCAACUGGCCCUUCCACGGCACUGUGUCUGCUCACAGGUGUCCCAGGAACAGCCAUUUCAUAGAGCAGUUGGGCUCCUAUGGUCCACUGCCCAACAGUCAUUAAGAGCAACUCGUUCCCCUCAACCUGGAGAGGAUCCGGCAUUGGGUUGGCUGUGGGGCCCGCCUAUGGAAAAGCUUCUCGGUCUUUCUGGCUUUUUUCCCCUGCAUUCUAUGCUGACCACAACUGCUGAGUGACUGCAAAGAAAACAGGCACAUGAAGUUCUCUUAGCUUUUCAGAAAACAGAUACAAAGGCUAUAGGAACAGAAGUGAGUUCACUUCAGUGA